UACGAAGGGUGCAAGCGUUGCUCGGAAUUACUGGGCGUAAAGCGACCGCAGGCGGUCUGAUAGGUCGGAUGUGAAAGCCCGGGGCUCAACCCCGGAACUGCAUUCGAAACCCUUAGACUUGAGUAUGGGAGAGGAGGGCGGAAUUCCUGGUGUAGAGGUGAAAUUCGUAGAUAUCAGGAGGAACGCUCGCGGCGAAGGCGGCUCUCUGGCCCAAUACUGACGCUCAUGGUCGAAAGCAUGGGUAGCGAACGGG
rnacentral:rRNA from 1 species